CAUUACAGGUGUUACCACCAUGGGCUUUACUUCUCCUUCGACUUUGUAUAUCAAUAUUUUGUGUAACCAUUAUGAUUGUUAGUGUUGCUCGAAGAGCGGAUUCAAGAUGGCUGAUUUACCUCACAAAUUGGAGUUAUUUCCUGCUUACUGUGUCAAUGAUCGGACUAACGCUAAUUAGCAUAUUCCACGUUUUGAAGAACAAAAGUGACUCGGAAAAUAAUUGGCGAAAGGAAGCGUACUAAAUGAAGAACACCAAACAAUCAGAUACUCAAAUCACAGUUACUGAAAUUCCAGAUACGGAAUUGCCAAUGCCUUUGGAUCAAUUGGAUGAUGGCGGGUGUAUUGCCACACCAUCAUUAGUUUGGUACGAGAAGACCGUGUGGUUUCUGUGGGUUAUUCCAGCCAACGCAGGUUUGGUUGUCACCGCUGAGCACUGGUUACUAUUAUUCAGACCUCCAACAAGCUUUAUGGAUAUAUCUGUUCACACAUUGAAUUCAUUUUUAUUCUGAUCGAGCUAUUCGCUGGAAAACUACCUGUCCGUAUUUUACAUUGGGUUUACAUGAUGAUAUUUUCUAUAAUUUAUGCUGUGUUUACUAUAACUUACUGGGCAGCUGGCGGAGUGAACGGUAGAGGAGACCCGUUUAUUUACCGCAUAUUAGACUACGAAAAUGGCAAGCCUGGUUCAAUAGCGGCUCGGUGUUGCUUUGUUCUGUUUUUAUUGUUGCGCCUUUGGUACAGUUUAUUUUAUACGGAUUACACCGAAUUAGACUUCGGCUGGACAAGUAGAAAAAUAC